CUUUGGGAGCCUGAGCUGGAGCCGAAGCCUGAGCCUUAGCUGGGGUUGAGGCCUCUGCCUUGGUGUGAACCUUGGGCUUUGGUUGGCAGAGCCUACCACCUUUGGCCAUGUAGCUUCUAAUCUACCUCCCAAGCUUGAGGUGGUGGAGAGUACAUAAGAUACAUUUGAUAUUGAAAAUAUAAAAUUUAAUAGGAACCUCCACAGCUUCUGUUCCAAAUGCCUGUUCAAACUGUAUAGAAGUUCAUGGCAUUGUAUAGACUUCAGGUCUGGUUAUUUGGGCUUUUCUUUUAGGGGAAGAAGGAUCUGUUUCAGCUCAUGAUGGAGAAGGCAAGAGGCUGGAGAUGGAGG
rnacentral:lncRNA from 1 species